rnacentral:rRNA from 1 species
GCUCAGAACGAACGCUGGCGGCGUGCCUAACACAUGCAAGUCGAGCGAGAAAGCCCGCAAGGGUGAGUAAAGCGGCGCACGGGUGCGUAACACGUGGGUAAUCUGCCCUAGAGUCCGGAAUAACUCGCCGAAAGGCGUGCUAAUGCCGGAUGAGACCACGGGAGCUUCGGCUCCUGGGGGAAAAGGUGGCCUCUGUACACAAGCUAUCGCUCUAGGAUGAGCCCGCGGCCCAUCAGCUAGCUGGCGGGGUAAUGGCCCACCAAGGCUACGACGGGUAGCUGGUCUGAGAGGACGAUCAGCCACACUGGAACUGAGACACGGUCCAGACUCCUACGGGAGGCAGCAGUGGGGAAUCUUGCGCAAUGGGCGAAAGCCUGACGCAGCAACGCCGCGUGUGUGAUGAAGGUCUUCGGAUCGUAAAGCACUGUCGCGAGGGACGAAUAAGGGUCGGGCUAACAUCCCGGUCCGAUGACGGUACCUCGAGAGGAAGCACCGGCUAACUCUGUGCCAGCAGCCGCGGUAAUACAGAGGGUGCAAGCGUUGUUCGGAAUUAUUGGGCGUAAAGCGCGUGUAGGCGGCUUAGUAAGUUGGGUGUGAAAGCCCUCGGCUUAACCGAGGAAGUGCGCCCAAAACUGCUUCGCUUGAGUGCCGGAGAGGGUGGCGGAAUUCCCGGUGUAGAGGUGAAAUUCGUAGAUAUCGGGAGGAACACCAGCGGCGAAGGCGGCCACCUGGACGGUAACUGACGCUGAGACGCGAAAGCGUGGGGAGCAAACAGGAUUAGAUACCCUGGUAGUCCACGCUGUAAACGAUGAGCGCUAGGUUUUGUGGGUGUUGACCCCCGCAGUGCCGCAGCUAACGCAUUAAGCGCUCCGCCUGGGAAGUACGGCCGCAAGGCUAAACUCAA